CUACGGGUCGCUCCAGUGGGGAAUAUUGGACAAUGGGGAAACCCUGAUCCAGCAAUGCCGCGUGUGUGAAGAAGGCCUGCGGGUUGUAAAGCACUUUCGGUUGGGAGGACUGCUUCUAGCACUAAUAUUGUUGGAAGUUGACGUUACCUUCAGAAGAAGCACCGGCUAACUCCGUGCCAGCAGCCGCGGUAAUACGGAGGGUGCAAGCGUUAAUCGGAAUUACUGGGCGUAAAGCGCGCGUAGGCGGCUAGAUCAGUCGGGUGUGAAAGCCCCGGGCUUAACCUGGGAACUGCAUCCGAUACUGUCUAGCUUGAGUACAGGAGAGGAGAGUGGAAUUCCACAUGUAGCGGUGAAAUGCGUAGAUAUGUGGAGGAACACCAAUGGCGAAGGCAGCUCUCUGGCCUGAUACUGACGCUGAGGUGCGAAGGCGUGGGGAGCAAACAGGAUUAGAUACCCCCGUAGUC
rnacentral:rRNA from 1 species